rnacentral:lncRNA from 1 species
AUUCCUGUUGUGUGAACAUGGCACCUUCAUAAAUUCAGAGAUGUUACUGUCGUCUUCUGAUGGAUCUCGAUAUCCAGCUAGAUGACCUUGCAUCUGUGUUGAUGAUUGUAGACAGAGAUGUGAGAGAAGACAGAAUUAGGCCUUAGCUGAGGGACUGCCUGCCAACAAGUAUUUCUUAGACACUUGUUACCGAAGAUUGUGUCAAAAGGAACAUGAGACAUAGCACCUGUCCUCGAGCAGCUUACCACCUACUUCUAACAACAGAAUGUCUACUAGAGGCUUCUUAGCCUAAGUGUAAGGGCGCUGGGUUGGGGG